CGGAGGACAGCUAGGCUAGGGCAGAGUGGCACAGUGGGUUAGGAAGUCAUAGGAAGAGCCUAUAAAGAGUUGGCACCUGACAAGAGUCCUCAGUGUGGGGGAAAAGGCUUGAGCCUGGCGGUACCAAGGACCGGAGCAGGAACCUGAGGCUGAUAGGAGAUAUUUAGCCGCAGAAGGAAUCUCACCAGAAACCCCAUUUACAUGGAAAGGAUAUCCACCAACACUCUGUGCACCCCCACUGGUGCCUGGCUUCGUCUGAUCAGUAUAAUUUCAACCAAGACAUCUCAGAGUCAUGUCACUUAUCAAAAGAGAAAAAAUGACUGGGGUGAACGGUUUCUUAGCAACCUGUUGCGUUACAGCUCCAGAACAACGGCAUGGACAGAUAAGGCCAGUGAAGCACUCUUCCCUGCGAAGCUCAGGCGCAUGUUUCCAGGUUCUGCACAACUUGUGGACACCUUUUGGUUGACUGCCAGGAUUGCCACUAAGCCCACAAGCACCACCCAAAGAUCAGCUUCAGACCACAAACUGCUCAGGACUUUCAGAUUGCUGAGUUCAUGAGACUGAUAUGAACAUGCAGAACUUUGAACUCAAAAAUACUUAAUCCUAAGACUGCGAAAUACAACCAAGCUGGACAUUGUGGAAAGCCUGGAAGAAAUAUCUUUGCUAUUGUAAAUAGUUUUACUGUGUUAGAGUAAAAAAAUCUUUCUUUUUUUUAUUUAGACAAAAAGGGCAAAAUGUUGCAGGAUAUUUGAUCACAUUGUGAACCCUGAGAUUGUUUACUGAAAAAUCCUGUUUCUAGUUGUAGUGUGGCUCAGCCCUAGCACACACCUUUAAUCCAAGAGCUUUCUGCUUGAACAAGAUUAAGCAAAGUCAGCCAUAGGUCAAGAAGCAUAACAAGAAAUCAGUUGACAGAGACUGAACAUAAGAACAAAACCAUAGAGAGUAAAAGGAAGUCAGGAAGAUGGAUAGAGAAAUGCCCAGGAAGGUAGCAGAGGGCUUUUUU